GCCGCUGUAGCUCAGCUGGUAGAGCGCCGGCCUCGUAUCCCUGGAGAGAUAGCCGGUGGUCGCGGGUUCAAAUCCCGCCGGCGGCU
rnacentral:tRNA from 2 species